rnacentral:rRNA from 1 species
GCGAGACGGGUAGCCGGCCUGAGAGGGCGACCGGCCACACUGGGACUGAGACACGGCCCAGACUCCUACGGGAGGCAGCAGUGGGGAAUAUUGCACAAUGGGCGGAAGCCUGAUGCAGCGACGCCGCGUGAGGGAUGACGGCCUUCGGGUUGUAAACCUCUUUCAGCAGGGACGAAGCGUAAGUGACGGUACCUGCAGAAGAAGCGCCGGCCAACUACGUGCCAGCAGCCGCGGUAAGACGUAGGGCGCGAGCGUUGUCCGGAUUUAUUGGGCGUAAAGAGCUCGUAGGCGGCUUGUCGCGUCGACUGUGAAAACCCGCGGCUCAACCGCGGGCCUGCAGUCGAUACGGGCAGGCUAGAGUUCGGUAGGGGAGACUGGAAUUCCUGGUGUAGCGGUGAAAUGCGCAGAUAUCAGGAGGAACACCGGUGGCGAAGGCGGGUCUCUGGGCCGAUACUGACGCUGAGGAGCGAAAGCGUGGGGAGCGAACAGGAUUAGAUACCCUGGUAGUCCACGCUGUAAACGUUGGGCGCUAGGUGUGGGGGGCCUCUCCGGUUCCCUGUGCCGCAGCUAACGCAUUAAGCGCCCCGCCUGGGGGAGUACGG